AUUGAACGCUGGCGGCAUGCCUUACACAUGCAAGUCGAACGGCAGCACGGGAGCAAUCCUGGUGGCGAGUGGCGAACGGGUGAGUAAUAUAUCGGAACGUGCCCAGUCGUGGGGAUAACGUAGCGAAAGCUACGCUAAUACCGCAUACGAUCUAUGGAUGAAAGCGGGGGAUCGCAAGACCUCGCGCGAUUGGAGCGGCCGAUAUCAGAUUAGGUAGUUGGUGAGGUAAAGGCUCACCAAGCCGACGAUCUGUAGCUGGUCUGAGAGGACGACCAGCCACACUGGGACUGAGACACGGCCCAGACUCCUACGGGAGGCAGCAGUGGGGAAUAUUGGACAAUGGGCGAAAGCCUGAUCCAGCAAUGCCGCGUGAGUGAUGAAGGCCUUAGGUUGUAAGCUCUUUUACCCGAGAUGAUAAUGACAGUAUCGGGAGAAUAAGCUCCGGCUAACUCCGUGCCAGCAGCCG
rnacentral:rRNA from 1 species